rnacentral:lncRNA from 1 species
ACUCUCUUUCAAAUUCUUUAAAUUUGACUCUGGCUCUACCCUUGAAUAAGGUUUAAGAAACAUACUAUGAACAUUCUUUUCAUUUUCAAAAAGGUUUAGCGGAAUUCUAUCCUCAAACUGUCAUAACUUACGGGCACGGAGGGUGAUCAGCCCCGUUGUACCCUGUAUUGAUCAAUACUACAUAACUUGAACGAAAUUCAUCGCUCACUCUAUCCGCCUUGGGCGCAAAAAUCUUCC